rnacentral:lncRNA from 1 species
GCAUAUUAAAUACGCAAAGAGGAGAGCGAGUUUCUGGAAACGUGUCAAGGAAAAUGAUCAGGAAAGAAGGAAGCCAAGGAGAAAGUCACCUGGGUUCAGCUGAAGCGCCAGCCUGCCUCGCCCAGAGAGCACACUGUGAGCCUCUCUGGAACCUGUCCCCUGCGGACUCAUGGUAGAUCUUAUCUAGAAGAUCGCUUCAUAUUAUUCCUGCGUCAGCCUCUGAUUCCUUCAGCCACUGUGUUCCACUCCUGGAGGUCUUGAUGGGCAGGAUCAUUUCUGUGACAGCCCAAACUAUCCUUCCUCCUGGGAGGUCCACGUCUGACCAAGAAGAGAAAAAAAUGCUUGAUCCGUCAAAUUCUGGAAGCACAGGCCCUUCCCAGGGUACACAAGCUUCUUCAUUCUGCAGGUCGGCAGGAUACUCUGACGUGUACAUGGCUGUAGAGGGAAGGAAAAGCCCACCCAUUGAACUGAAAUUCAGGACCUUUCAAAGCAUUGCCUGAACACUAAAAAACAAUAUUUUGGCUCCCCCUGGCUACUCACCAAAGUUCAUCGCCCUCCAAUCCACCUCUGAUUGGAAUGAUGCUGAUUUGAAAGAAGGAUCAGUCUAUGCCCCACCUAGAAUAACAUCCAGCUGAAGGCUCUCAUUGUCACCCUUUUCCCCAGCUCAGAGAAAGCAUGUGUGGAAGUAGGCGGAAUGUGCGGACUGUGAGUGAAGCACAAUUCUGCUGGAGCCCAGAGGCCAAGGCCGGAUGAAGCAGGGCUCAGGGUGGUGCGCACUCUGCAUUUGCCAAGGGUGCCAAAGGCUGCCUCUCUCUGGGAAGGGGGAGACGUGAGCGAACUGGGUUUGAGUUGCCCGCCUACCUCAAGGCUGCCGACACACAGUGGAAAGAUGUUCCACAGAGACACAAAAUGACCUUCUCCCAAUCAAAUCAAGUUAAAGAAACAAAAAAACCUGAUCCUUGCCUCUUCCUUCUAAACCAAAGCAAAGCCUCAGAAAAUAAGCAUCCCCUUCCUUUGACUUAUGUAUGUACUGAAUGAUUGAACAAAUCAACGUCAUUGCUGAUAAAACUUGUCCUUAAUGCCUACGAUGGAAAAGGAAAACACAGAUCUUUCUCUGUAAGAAGGAACAAGUAGCAAAAGAAAGGUCAUAUAUUUUAAAGCG